UACUCCAGCAGGUCAUCUCGUUGAUGAUGUAUUUAUUUCUUUUCUAGCUUUUCAUGGUCCGAGUUUGCUAGCAUGAGCUCUACUAUUCUUGGAUCUUGCUUUAUCCAUCAGAUUUAAAAAUACCACGUUUUACCCAGUACAGUUACACACAGCAAGCAGCCUAAUCAUUUUAUGUUGCUACAGGUGUCACAGGCUCAUCUGAACACAGUACGUCUGGACCACUCAGUACUCCAGAAAAAGGAUCCCAUAUUCCAGAAGCAAUUCCAACGUACUCAGAAACAACCACAAAUGUUGGUGAGGCUUCAGCCUGGGGCGCUGGGGUGUACAAAGCGUUCAGCGGCCGCAUCUUCGCCUUCGAGUCCUCGUGCGCCUACACCUUCUGCCGCCACUGCGUCGAAUCCGGAGGGGAUUUCAACAUUGAGAUCAAGCGCAGUAAUGACAGUGAGAUUGAGAAUAUAAAAGUCCUAAUUGACGGCUAUGACGUCGCUAUUUCUGGCGAUGUUAUUUCAGUUAAUGAUGAAAGGUAGGCCGCAGAGUGUUUCAGGUAAAUCCAGUGACAUUAAUUCGAGUACCCAGAGGGAGGGGAAAAAAGGAAAGAAAAACAGUUGAAUAGAGAAGAGAUGGUAUUCUCUUCCUAUUUUGAUCCUCGUAUGGAAUUUUCUCAUAAAUGUUUGGGCAGGAGUUUGAUACAUGCACAAGACUUGGCUCUGUUUGGGAUUUUCAGAUGUUUAUUGCUA